rnacentral:rRNA from 1 species
UACGGGGGGGGCAAGCGUUGUUCGGAAUUACUGGGCGUAAAGGGCUCGUAGGUGGCCAACUAAGUCAGACGUGAAAUCCCUCAGCUUAACUGGGGAACUGCGUCUGAUACUGGAUGGCUUGAGUUUGGGAGAGGGAUGCGGAAUUCCAGGUGUAGCGGUGAAAUGCGUAGAUAUCUGGAGGAACACCGGUGGCGAAGGCGGCGACCUGGGCAGAUACUGACGCUGAGGUGCGAAAGCGUGGGGAGCAAACAGG